CAACGUUCUCAGGGCGGGGUGCAAUUCCCCACCGGCGGUAAUGACAUGCUGAGUGUCUAGCCCGCGAGCGCUUGCCUACCCUGACCCGGGCGGCAAGGUCAGCAGACCCGGUGUGAUUCCGGGGCCGACGGUCAUAGUCCGGAUAAAGAGAGAGCGGGA
rnacentral:ncRNA from 1 species